rnacentral:tRNA from 1 species
GGAGAUUUAGCUCAGUGGUAGAGCGCUUGGGCAAGCGCAAGGCCCUGGGUUCGGUCCCCAGCUCCA